GACGAACGCUGGCGGCGUGCUUAACACAUGCAAGUCGAGCGGUAAGGCCCUUUCGGGGGUACACGAGCGGCGAACGGGUGAGUAACACGUGGGUGACCUGCCCUCAGCUCUGGGAUAAGCCUGGGAAACCGGGUCUAAUACUGGAUAUGACUCCAUGACGCAUGUUGUGGGGUGGAAAGCCUUGUGCGGCUGAGGAUGGGCCCGCGGCCUAUCAGCUUGUUGGUGGGGUGANGGCCUACCAAGGCGACGACGGGUAGCCGGCCUGAGAGGGUGACCGGCCACACUGGGACUGAGACACGGCCCAGACUCCUACGGGAGGCAGCAGUGGGGAAUCUUGCGCAAUGGGCGAAAGCCUGACGCAGCGACGCCGCGUGAGGGAUGACGGCC
rnacentral:rRNA from 1 species